rnacentral:rRNA from 1 species
ACCUGGGGUACGCAGAAGAAACGGCAGAACUUGAAAGUGCGAUAGGCGUACGGAACUCAUGGUGUAGGGGUGAAAUCCGUUGAUAUCAUGGGGAACACCAAAAGCGAAGGCAACUGACUGGCGCAUUUCUGACACUGAGACACGAAAGCGUGGGUAGCGAACUGGAUUAGAUACCCAGGUAGUCCACGCCCUAAACGAUCUUCACUAGCUUUCGGGGGAAUCGACCCCCUCGGAGGCGAAGCUAACGCGUUAAGUGAAGCGCCUGGGUAGUACGGCCGCAAGGCUAAAACUCAAAGGAAUAGACGGGGACUUGCACAAGCAGUGGAUUAUGCGGUUCAAUUCGAUGACAAACGAAAAACCUUACCAGGGUUAGAAAUUAAAUCGAAGAUAAGCAGAAACGUUUAUCGUUCG